AUACAUGGCCAUGCUAUCCUGAACAAGCCCGAUCCUGUCUGAUCUUGGAAGCUAAGCAGGAUUGGGCCUGGUUAGUACUUGGAUGGGAGACCACCUAGGAAAACCAGGUGCUAUAGGCA
rnacentral:rRNA from 1 species